GACGAACGCUGGCGGCGUGCCUAAUACAUGCAAGUAGAACGCUGAAGGAGGAGCUUGCUUCUCUGGAUGAGUUGCGAACGGGUGAGUAACGCGUAGGUAACCUGCCUGGUAGCGGGGGAUAACUAUUGGAAACGAUAGCUAAUACCGCAUAAUAGCAGUUAUUGCAUGAUAACUGUUUGAAAGGUGCAAUUGCAUCACUACCAGAUGGACCUGCGUUGUAUUAGCUAGUUGGUGAGGUAACGGCUCACCAAGGCGACGAUACAUAGCCGACCUGAGAGGGUGAUCGGCCACACUGGGACUGAGACACGGCCCAGACUCCUACGGGAGGCAGCAGUAGGGAAUCUUCGGCAAUGGACGGAAGUCUGACCGAGCAACGCCGCGUGAGUGAAGAAGGUUUUCGGAUCGUAAAGCUCUGUUGUAAGAGAAGAACGAGUGUGAGAGUGGAAAGUUCACACU
rnacentral:rRNA from 1 species